AUGGCUUAAGAUUAGAUUCAGGAGACCUAUUAAGAUUAUAGAUUUCUUGUAGGCUUUGUGGAUCGUGAGGAUUAGCACUGCUAUACCGAUUCAGAGUUAAGAUUAAACGACAGGCAUUGCCUAAUCAGGUGGGCUUAUUUUCCAAAUGUAUGGUUUAGCUAUUGAGCUUAAAUGUUUCAAUGAAAUGAAAAUUGUUUAUCCGAUAAAAUAUUUUGUGCACUCUGCUCUGUUUAAAGCUCGCAACAAUGAAUCGAUCGAGGUUCUCUCUUGACCUAACACGUUAUUUGAGAAUUGUGUACACCUAUUAGCUGACCUGGUGGGUUGAUCUCCAUCGGGCACUAAUCAUGUAUGAGGCGUUAUAAGGGUGCUCGACGGGAUGUGUUCCGGAGCAUUGGGUCCCAAAUGGGAACUUGACUGGGUUACGCCCUCAGUUCAAGUAAAGCAGGAGUAAUGGAUCCGUCGGUGGCUAAAAGGUCCGGGAUCACAGCGAGUAACGGAAAGGGAGUGUGACAAUUGCGCGCAAUAUAAUAAAAUGUUUUAACAUGCUUAGAAGUUAUUUCAAUUUAAAACCUUCUAAGUCAUGUCAAGUAUAAUUGGAUAAACUGCUCUUAUGAUUAUGAAAUGUUUAUAAAAAUGCUAGCCCACUAAGUACAUUAGUACUUAGCCCAAAAAUUACUUUCAAAUGUUUUCAGGUUGAUUGGUCGGUGCUGACGGGGCAGAGCUGAGGCUAGAGUUCAACUCCGUAUUUUGUCUUCCGCUGUUGCACUAGCUCUUAUUGUCUUUUGUUUCUCUAACUUAAGACUUUUAUGUUAAAUUCUGAAUUAUGUUUCUUAUCGAGCGUAGACUCUCAACUUCUAGCUCUAUGUUAUUUAACGUUGGUUAUCAGAAGCAUGAAACCAAACUUGUGAUCCUGAGGUUUAGAAUGUUGUUGAUUGAUUAGUAUCACUUGAUUUCUAUCUUUCUUCAUUCAAAGGGCGUUGCCCAACCUUUUAUCCUAUUAUCUGAAUUUCACAAGGUUCUUCCCUUGUUUAUUUCUAUGAUUUUAGUCGCACCUCGAUUAUAAUUUAUUCCUUCAAGAAUUGGGGUGUGACAGAAUGGUAUCAGAGCAUAAGUUUUCUUUCAUGUCUCUGAUAACCGUAAGCUUCUAAUGUCGAGUCUAGAAUAGUACCUCUAGGCUUCUAAGAAAAUUUGUUGACCCUCAGCUCGCCGUCACACUGCCGCAACAAAAGGUAUGACUUAAAAAAAAAAUUUCAAUGAUUUUAAAUGCUUUCAAAGUUUUUUUAAGAAGUGCGCGUUUUCAAUGUAUGAUGUUAUAUGAAUUGCUUAUCGCUUUCAUAUUGUUAUUUUGAGCCUUUAACUCAUAUAACCAAUGUAUGUAUGUAUGUCGUGUUUGGGACUACCCGAGCCCUUAACGAAUCAAUGAAUUUAUGGUCGAGUUAGAUUCCAUUAAUCUUUCCGGCUUAAGAAAAUUUUUAUGAAAUGGGCAUUUAUUGUCCAUAUGUUUAAAAGUUUCAAAAGAAACAAAUGAUUAAAUGAAUGAAAAGUUUUAUGUUAUCGUUUUAGGUCCACUGCCUAUACGAUUUGAAUGAUGAGUCCUCUUACAAAUGGUUUGAGAACUACCCAAUGAUGCCUUAGAAAUGUUAGUCGUGAAAGCUCCGCUUGAUCGAUUUAAGUAAGGAAUGAUAAGAUAGCAACGUUUAACAUAGAUAUGUUACAACGCAGAAGAAAUGUCAUGAGAUUAAGGUUUCACUUAAGUUAUUCCACUUAAGUUUAGAUUAGUUUCCACGUAGAACUAGUCUUUCACAUGGUUACACUAUAGAAGCGAUAUAUCUCGUGUAUAUCUAUAUAUGUAUGUAUGUAUGUAUGUAUGCCGAAUGAGUCUCUUCGUCUGCUGAUUCUCGUCCGUCAAUCAGAAUGGAAGGUGCACCAAGAGGACGUGGUAGAGGGCGCGGACGUGGCCGUGGGCGCGGUAGGGGAUUUGUACCCGAAGAGCCUAUUCCACAAGUAGCACCAAAUCGCACAGCCGAGGAAAAGUUUCGCAAGGAAAAACCUCCAACGUUUGAUGGAUUGGGCGAACCUGCGGAUGCCGAGAAAUGGGUUAGGGCAAUAGAACGGAUCUUCAACUACAUCCGUUGUGAUGAUGAGGAAAAGUGGCAUGGCAACUUAUCAGUUGGUGGACGAAGCUGACUUUUGGUGGGAGUCAGUAGGCGGACUAUGAACUGACGAACAGUGGGAGAAUUUCACAUGGGAAGAAUUCAAGGCUGAAUUGUAUGAGAAUAUAUACCAGGAUGUUUACCGACAAAGAAACAGAAGAGUUUUGGAAUUGAGACAGAAAACGGGAACUGUGACGAGUAGAAGGCCUUCAAUCAGCUAUCAAGAUAUGCUCCGACGUUGGUGGACAGGAUGAGAAACGCGCAGAGAAGUUCAAGAAACGGACUGCGUCACGAGAUAGCGUACUUUCCCUAGCAAGUCAAGGGGUCUCACUACGCGCAGACAUUGAGCAGACGCCCUCACUAUUGAGUCAUUGUUGCCAAGGGAGAAAGGAAAAUCCCCGAACAGUUGGAUUUGUACCAUCUCAAGAUGGUAUAAGGGAAAGGAAAAUGGAAUGAAGGACUGGUGGAAACAUUGGAAAUGGGAAGAAACCAUGGGGCAAUCAAAAUCGAACAACAUCAGAACCACAACCUCAAGCAAUGUUCAAACUCCUUGCCCAAAAUGUCAAAAACUCCAUCCGGGAGAAUGUCUGAAAGGAAUGAACGUCUGCUAUAACUGCGGAGAGGCCGGGCAUUAUGUCUCGAAUUGCCCAAAGAGGGAGGUGGAGCACCCCAACAACAAAAUCCCGGGAACCAACAGCGACAAAACCAAUGUCUUAUAUGACUUUAGGGCAACCACAAUACGCUAAAUCUUCAUUUCUCUCUCUUCAAUGCUGUUCCAUCAUCUUUCCUUCUGUGCGGCUGCUUUCAGUUCAUGUAACACCCCGCCCAUUUAUAUUAAGUUUAGAAUUUAAUUUAAACUUAGAUUUAAGAUGAUUCACGCCGGAUAAAAGAAAAUGAAUUUAUUUUAAUUCCAACAAAAAUGAUUUACAAAAACAUUUGUAAAUUUAAUUAUUGAAUUUAUAUGCAUUGUAUAUUUAUUUAAUUUAGCAUUCAAGUAUUUUUUUUACGAGAUAUUUAUUUAGCAAACCCUGAAAUAUUUAUUACAGUCCCGAUAUUUUAUCUAUGUUACUAAUAACCACCCAAUAUCAUGAUAUUAUUUUUUUUUUACAUACAUGUGCAGACAAUCAAUUAUAUCUGCACAAUAAAAUCAUAUCUUUGAUAUCUUAUCAAAGAUUUGUCCACUUUCAUUUGCUUCCCUACUUUCUUUUAUUUUAUUUGUCCACUUUCAUUUGCUUCCACUUUCUUUUAUUUUAUUUGUCCACUUUCUUUUGUUUCCAUUUAUUUUUGUUUUUAUGCAGUCAAAUUCCACUACACCAGAUCAGCCAAGUUUUCCACUACACCUAACAAAUCAGUCAAAUUUUCCUUCACUCACUACUCCACCAAAUUUCUUUCAUCGGCUCUCCAAAAUCAUUUCACCGAAAUCUCCCCAAACUCAUUUCACCAGAAAUCUCCCCAAACCAAAGCAAACAUCCAUCUGUGUAUCAACAACAAAUCAGUGAAAGGUUUAUAUUUCCAACUCAUUCAAUUCAUGCAAAAUUCAUCAAUCCUUAGCCGAACAGAAAAACACAAACACAUGUCCAUCAUCUCAUCAGAUAUAUGCAUACAUAUUUGUAUAUUUAGAUCGCAAAUCAUAAAGUUUAUGUUUUUAAACAAAACAUUGAAAUCUUUCAAGAACAUUGCAUUCACGAAAACAUAAGUAGAAAAAGGGAAACUUGGUUUAAAGCUUUUAUUUUUGUUGAGCCGGUUGAUGCCGGUGCGUCUGAGUCGAGUCGGGGAAGAUGGCUGGCAGAGACGGCGGCGUGGAGACGCUGCUGUCGGGCCGAGGACGGUGAGAGAGAGAGGGAGACAGGCAGCGGCGUUCCGUCGUUGCCAAGGAAGAGAGAGAACAGGGGGUACAGAGGGAGAUGAGGUGGGUGGUCCUUCGUUGGUGGCCGAGCCGCGGUGGCGGAGAGAGGCUGGGAUGGCAGCCGGCUCUGGGAUGGUGGCAGGCGGUCCGACCAACCGCUGCUCUCUGUCGUCGGGGCGGCGAGGGCGGCCACGCUGUCGGCUGAAGAAGGAGAAGGUGAUGGUGGUGUCGGGUAGGAACAGGUGGUGUAGCUGCGGCGGCGGAAGUGACAGGAGACGAGGGAGAAGUUCCGGCCGGCGCUCGUUGCCGGGCAUGAAGGAGCAGUCGAGGGAGAGGAGCAGUCGAGGGAGAGGAGCAGUUGAGGGAGAGGAGAGUCAAGGGCGGCGGCGUAUUCAGCGGUGGUUUCCGUCGUCUGCCGGAAGAGAGUUGGGGGAGAGAAGGGGAGGGGGUUUGGCGUGAAUGGAGAGAAAAGAGAGAGACGAGAGAGGCUAUGUGUGUGUGAGUGUUGUGCGGCUGAGGGAGAUAAGAGGGUGGAGUCAGUGGGCUAGGGUGAAGGUUGGGCUUGGAUGGGGAGUGGGCUUGGGUGUUGGGCCGGGGUUUAAUUAGUGUUGGGCCGAUUUUUUUUAGUUUUGGGCUGCGAAAUUUUAUUAUCAGUUGGGCCCUUGGUUUUAAUAAUUGUGCUGGGCUUUAAUUCAAUCAUUUAAAAGAUGGGCCCUAUUAUUGUUUUAUGAAAUUGGGCUUUCUUAUUUUUAAUUAAUUGAACUAUUAUUAGUUUGAUUAAUUUAUUUAAAGGAAAAUUUUCAUAAUAAUAUUAAAUUAUUAUUAUGUGCAUAUUUUAAGUAAUUACUUAUUAUAUGCUAAGCAUGACAUGAUUUGCAUUAUAUUUUGCAAUAAGAGAAAUAUUACCAAUUAUUAAGAAAGAUGAGUAAGAAUAUUGUUGGUGUUCUUAACUCAAGAGAAAUAUUUUCAAUUAUUUAUGCAUUAAAUUUUGAAAACCCGGCUAAGUGAAUCAUAGAAUAUUAAGCACUUCACCAUGACUUAAGAUUUAAUUCAGGAGACCUAUUAAGAUUAUAGAUUUCUUGUAGGUUUUGUAGACCGUGAGGACUAGCGCUGCUAUAUCAAUUCAGAGUUAAGAAUAAACGACAGGCAUUGCCUAAUCAGGUGGGCUUAUUUUCCAAAUGUAUGAUUUAGCUAUUGAGCUUAAAUAUUUCAAUGAAAUGAAAACUGUUUAUCCAAUAAAUAUUUUUGUGCACUCUGCUCUGUUUAAGGCUCGCAUAAGUUAAUCGAUCGAGGUUCUCUUAUGACCUAACACGUUGUUUGAGAAUUGUGUACACCUAUUAGCUGACUCGGUGGGUUGAUCUCCAUCGGGCACUAAUCAUGUAUGAGGCGUUAUAAGGGUGCUCGACGGGAUGUGUUCCGGAGCAUGGUGUCCUCGAAAUGGGAUUAUACUUGGCUGGGUUACGCCCUCAGUUCAAGUCAGCGGGAGACAGAGAUCCGUCGGUGGCUAGAGGUCCGGGAUCACAGCGAGUAACAGAAUGGAGUGUACAAACGCGCGCAAUAUAAAAUAUAAUGAAAAUGUUUUAACAUGCAUAGAAGUUAUUUCUCUUUAAAAACCUUCUAAGUCAUGUAAAGUAUAAUUGGAUAAACUGCUCUUAUGAUUAUGAAAUGUUUAUAAAAAUGCUAGCCCACUAAGUACAUUAGUACUUAGCCCAAAAUUUCUUUCAAAUGUUUUCAGGUUGAUUGGUCGGUGCUGACGGGGCAGAGCUGAGGCUAGGGUUCAACUCCGUAUUUUGUCUUCCGCUGUUGCACUAGCUCUUAUUUGUCUUUGUUUCUCCAACUUAAGACUUUUAUGUUAAAUUCUGAAUUAUGUUUCUUAUCGAGCUUAAACUCUCAACUUCUAGCUCUAUGUUAUUUAACGUUGGUUAUCGGAAGCAUGAAACCGAACUUGUGAUCCUAAGGCUUUGAAUGUUGUUGAUUGAUUAGUAUCACUUGAUUUUUAUCUUUCUUCAUUCAAAGGGCAUUGCCCAACAUUUUUAUUCUAUUAUCUGAAUUUCACAAGGUUCUUCCCUUGUUCAUUUAUAUGAUUUUAGUCGUACCCCAGUUAUAGUUUAUUCCUUCAAGAAUUGGGGUGUGACAGAAUGGUAUCAGAGCAUAAGUUUUCUUUCAUGUCUCUGAUAACCAUAAGCUUCUAACAUCGAGUCUAGAUUAGUAUCUCUAGACUUCUAAGAAAAAUUUGUUGACCCUCAGCUCGCCGUCACACUGCCGCAACGAAAAGGUACGAUUUAAAAGUUUCAAUGAUUUUAAAUGCUUUCAAGUUUUUAAGAAGUGCGCGCUUUCUAUGAAUGAUGUUAUAUGAAUUGCUAAUCGCUUUCAUAUUGUUAUUUUGAGUCUCCGACUCAUAUAACCAGCUAAGUAUCGUGUUUGGGACACCCGAGCCCUUAACGAUCAAUAAUUUAUGGUCGAGUUAGAUUCCAUUAAUCUUUCCGGCUUAAGAAAAAUUUUAUGAAAGGGGCAUUUAUUGUCCAUAUGUUUAAAAGUUUCAAAGAAACAAAUGAUUAAAUGAAUGAAAAGUUUAUGUUAUCGUGUUAGGUCCACUGCCUGUACGAUAUGAAUGAUGAGUCUCUUACAAACCGUUUGAGUACUACCCAAGGAUACUUUAGAAUGUUAGUCGUGAAAGCUCCGCUUGAUCGAUUUAAGAGGAAUGAUAAGAUAGCAACGUUUAACAUAGAUAUGUUACACGUAGAAGAAAUGUCAUGAGAUUAAGGUUUCACUUAAGUUAUUCCACUUAAGUUUAGAUUAGUUUCCACAUAGAACUAGUACUUUCACAUGGUUACAUUAUAGAAGCGAUAUAUCUCGUGUAUAUCUAUAUAUGUAUGUAUGUAUGCCGAAUGGGUCUUUUCUUCUGUUGAUUCUCGUCCGUCAAUCAGAAUGGAAGGUGCACCAAGAGGACGUGGUAGAGGGCGCGGACGUGGCCGUGGGCGCGGUAGGGGAUUUGUACCCGAAGAGCCUAUUCCACAAGUAGCACCAAAUCGCACAGCCGAGGAAAAGUUUCGCAAGGAAAAACCUCCAACGUUUGAUGGAUUGGGCGAACCUGCGGAUGCCGAGAAAUGGGUUAGGGCAAUAGAACGGAUCUUCAACUACAUCCGUUGUGAUGAUGAGGAUAAAGUGGCAUGCGCAACUUAUCAGUUGGUGGACGAAGCUGACUUUUGGUGGGAGUCAGUGAGGCGGACUAUGACUGACGAACAGUGGGAGAAUUUCACAUGGGAAGAAUUCAAGGCUGAAUUGUAUGAGAAGUAUAUACCAGGAUGUUACCGACAGAAGAAACAGAAUGAGUUUUGGAAUCUGAGACAGAAAACGGGAACUGUGACUGAGUACGACAGGGCCUUCAACCAGCUAUCAAGAUAUGCUCCGACUUUGGUGGACAGUGAUGAGAAACGCGCAGAGAAGUUCAGAAACGGAUUGCGUCACGAGAUAGCGAUUUCCCUAGCAAGUCAAGGGGGUCUCACCUACGCGCAGACAUUAAGCAGAGCCCUCACUAUUGAGUCAUUGUUGCCAAGGGAAAAAGGAAAUUCCCCGAACAGUCUGGAUUUGUACCAUCUCAAGAUGGUAGUAAGGGAAAGAGAAAAUGGAAUGAAGGAACUGGUGGAAACAUUGGAAAUGGGAAGAAACCAUGGGUGGCGAAUCAAAAUCAGAACCAACAUCAAAAUCCACAACCUCAAGCAAUGGUUCAAACUCCUUGCCCAAAGUGUCAAAAACUCCACCCGGGAGAAUGUCUGAAAGGAAUGAACGUCUGCUAUAACUGCGGGGAGGCCGGGCAUUAUGUCUCGACAUGCCCAAAGAGGGAGGAAGAGCACCCCAACAACAAAAUCCCGGGAACCAACAGCGACAAAACCAAGGUCCUAGAGGAAAUCAGGGGCAACCACAAUACGCUAGGGCCUAUGCCAUUAACCAACACCAAGCAGNNNNNNNNNNNNNNNNNNNNNNNNNNNNNNNNNNNNNNNNNNNNNNNNNNNNNNNNNNNNNNNNNNNNNNNNNNNNNNNNNNNNNNNNNNNNNNNNNNNNNNNNNNNNNNNNNNNNNNNNNNNNNNNNNNNNNNNNNNNNNNNNNNNNNNNNNNNNNNNNNNNNNNNNNNNNNNNNNNNNNNNNNNNNGAUUAUCAAUUACUUUAAUAUUUAAUCAAAUUACUUCUUUUAUAAUUCCUUAUAAUAUGAUGAAUUGAUAUUCAUUAAAAUAAAUCAAAUCAAUUUGUUUACCGUGAAGUUUAUUGUUAUCAAUUUUCAUGCCAUGAUGAAUUGAUAUUCAUUAAAAUAAAUCAAAUCAAUUUGUUUACUGUGAAGUUUAUUGUUGUCAAUUUUCAUGCCAAACACUACAAAAAAAACUUACCGGACACCGACAAAAUUAUCGACGAAAAAUAAUCCGUCGGUGAUUACCGACGAAACAAUGGCAGAAUUCCGACGAAGAUGUUUUAAAAGUUUAACGACGAAAUUACCGACGAAGAUGUUUUUCCGUCAUUCUUUCGUCGUGUAACACCCCGCCCAUUUACAUUAAGUUUAGAAUUUAUUUUAAGCUUAGAUUAAAUGAUUUAUGCCGGAAAAUAAAAAUGAAUUUAUUUUAAUUCCAACAAAAAUGAUUUACAAAAGCAUUUGUAAAUUUAGUUAUUAAAUUUAUAUGCAUUGCAUAUUUAUUUAAUUUAGCAUUCAAGCAUUUUUUUCACGAGCUUUUAAUUAGCAAACCCUGAAGCAUUAGUACAGUCUCGACGAUUUUAUUCCUGAGUGAUUUUGGAGUGUCCAAUUAUCACUCAUAACCUAUGCCUUUUACAGCCACCCUACUCUCUGCGGCAGCCUCCAAUCUCAGACCCCAAAGGUCAAAUAUUUCAGCCAUGCUUUUGCAGGCAAAUCUCAUCCCCAAGUCAAAUAUUGCAGGCAAAUCUCCAUCAAAUCUCAUCCCGUCAAAUAUUUCAGCCCAGCUGCCCUAUUCACCCCCAUGCGCUGGUUAAUUUUUUUCAACGCUUCUCCUCCCUCUUUUCAAUCCUUCACGCAUGCUUCUACUUUCUAUUAUUCGUCAUUGCUCCUAUAAAAUAUCCUCCUCAUUCAUCUUCUCUUCCUUACCACAACAACACAACUUCUACGGUAAAGAAUACUUCUUGUUUAUUCAAGUCUCAAUCUUCUCAUUCAUUUUCUAAUAUCAGCAGAUUUCUUUCAUAUGCAGAGAAAACCAUCAAAUAUCUGCCAUUUUUACAGAAACCACCGAACAGAAUUCAUACAAAAAGGUUUCACCUUUCAAUUCCUCUACUUAUUCAUUCAUGCUCAACAUCAUAGUACGAAUAAAACCAACUGUAGAUAAAACAAAGAGAUACUGAAUAUUGUUCUUACAUUUGGUAACAUAGAUGAAAAGAUUAAAGAUACAGAAAUGAGAAUUUAUAUGAACUGGACUUGUGUGUUGCUGUGUUGACUUGAUGUUGAGUGUGUGCUUGCUGUGGGGAGAGUCGAGUAAGGGGAGAGAGGGCAGGCGGCGGUCAGCGGUGGCUCCGAGCUGCUGUCUGGCCGGAGCGCGUAGAGAGAGAGAGUGAAGCCGAGGGUGCGUGUGUUCUGUUGGCUGGGUCGGAGCUCGGCGGCGGCGGCAGCGGCCUGGCAGCUGCUGUCUGUCGAAGCUAGUGAGGGAGAGGGAGCGAGGGGGUGGUGAGUGUGUGGAGUCGGUGAGUGGUCGCGAGUUGUUGGGCGGGCGGAGUGGGUUGUGGCGGUUGUUCGCCGGAUGGUUAGGAGGAAGGGGGCGAUUUGUCGGGGUUGGCGGCGGUGGUGGUUGGCUUUGCUGCUGCUGUCGCCGUCGCCGGAGUUGAGAGGGAGGUGGCGGGCUUAGGUGGUGCGUCGUGUGUAGGCGUCCUCCCGUGAUGUGUGUGUGCGGUCACGUUGGGUGUGAGGAACGAGAGAGAAGGUGAGAGGGUGGUGUGGCGUUGGCUGGGGUUCCGCGGGAUGAAGGGCGUCCGGGAGAGAAGGGCCGGCGUUGCCGGCUAGGAGAGGGAGAAGGGGAGGGGAGCGGGGCGGCUGUGUGGCGGCGUGCGUGUGUUGUGAGAGGUGUGUGUGUGUGAGUGAGUGUUUAAGAAAGAAGAGGGGAGAAAAUAGAGUUGUGGGUUUGGGCUUUGUUGGCUAGGGUUGGGCCGAGUGUUUGGGCCGGGUAUUAAUUAGUUUGGGCUGCUGUUUUUUAUUUCUUGGGCCGAUUUUAUUUGAUUUGCUUUGUUUUUUGGGCCGAUUUUUAUGAGUUUGGGCCAAUAGUUGGGCCAUUUUCAAAUUUUAGCUGGGCCCUUAUUUAUUUAAAAUUUUGGGCUGUCUUCUAUUAAUUUAUUUGAGCUAUACUAAUUUAAUUAAUUUGACUAUCAUUAGUUUGAUUAAUUAUUUUAAAGAAUAAUUUGCAUAAUAAUAUUACAUUAUUAUUAUGUGCAUAUGUUAAGUGUGAUUACUUAUUAUAUGAUUAAGCCUGAAAUAAAUUUGCAUAUGCAUUUUUGCAAAUAAAAGUACUCAUGAUUUAAAUUGAUUUUCAUAAAAUCCAAUUACCCAAGAAAAUUGAGUAAGGAUAUUGUUGGUGUCCUUAGCUCAGCAAUUUAGUUUUCAAUUAUUAUCUAUUAAAUUUUGAAAACCCGGCGUGAUGAAUCAUAGUAGUUAAGUGCACCCAUUAAGACUUUAAAAUUAGAUUCAUGAGACCUAUUAAGAUUAUAGAUUUCUUGUAGGCUUUGUGGAUCGUGAGGAUUAACACUGCUAUACCGAUUCAGAGUUAAGAUUAAACGACAGGCAUUGCCUAAUCAGGUGGGCUUACUUUCCAAAUGUAUAGUAUUUAGCUAUUGAGCUUAAAUGUUUCAAUGAAAUGAAAUUACAAUGAAAUGCAAACUGUUUAUCCAAUAAAAUAUUUUGUGCACUCUGCUCUGUUUAAGGCUCGCAUAAGUUAAUCGAUCGAGGUUCUCUCUUGACCUAACACGUUAUUUGAGAAUUGUGUACACCUAUUAGCUGACCUGGUGGGUUGAUCUCCAUCGGGCACUAAUCAUGUAUGAGGCGUUAUAAGGGUGCUCGACGGGAUGUGUUCCGGAGCAUUGGGUCCCAAAUGGGAACUUGACUGGGUUACGCCCUCAGUUCAAGUAAAGCAGGAGUAAUGGAUCCGUCGGUGGCUAAAAGGUCCGGGAUCACAGCGAGUAACGGAAAGGGAGUGUGACAAUUGCGCGCAAUAUAAUAAAAUGUUUUAACAUGCUUAGAAGUUAUUUCAAUUUAAAACCUUCUAAGUCAUGUCAAGUAUAAUUGGAUAAACUGCUCUUAUGAUUAUGAAAUGUUUAUAAAAAUGCUAGCCCACUAAGUACAUUAGUACUUAGCCCAAAAUUACUUUCAAAUGUUUUCAGGUUGAUUGGUCGGUGCUGACGGGGCAGAGCUGAGGCUAGGGUUCAACUCCGUAUUUUGUCUUCCGCUGUUGCAUUAGCUCUUAUUUGUCUUAUGUUUCUCUAUCUUAAGACCUUUUAUGUUAAAUUCUGAAUUAUGUUUCUUAUCGAGCUUAGACUCUCAACUCUAGCACUAUGUUAUUUAAUAUUGGUUAUCAGAAGCAUGAAACCAAACUUGUGAUCCUAAGAUUUAGAAUGUUGUUGAUUGAUUACUAUCAGUUGAUUUAUGUCUUUCUUCACUCAAAGGGCGUUGCCCGACUUUUUAUCCUAUUAUUUGAAUUUCACAAGGUUCUUCCCUUGUUUAUUUCUAUGAUUUUAGUCGCACCUCGAUUAUAGUUUAUUCCUUCAGAAAUUGGGGUGUGACAGAAUGGUAUCAGAGCAUAAGUUUUCUUUCAUGUCUCUGAUAACCGUAAGCUUCUAAUGUCGAGUCUAGAAUAGUUCCUCUAGGCUUCUAAGAAAAUUUGUUGACCCUCAGCUCGCCGUCACACUGCCGCAACAAAAGGUACGACUUAAAAAUUUCAAUGAUUUUAAAUGCUUUCAAAGUUUUUAAGAAGUGCGCGCUUUCAAUGGAUGAUGUUAUAUGAAUUGCUUAUCGCUUUCAUAUUGUUAUUUUGAGCCUUUGACUCAUAUAACCAAUGUAUGUAUGUAUGUCGUGUUUGGGACUAUCGAGCCCUUAACGAAUCAAUGAAUUUAUGGUCGAGUUAGAUUCCAUUAAUCUUUCCGACUUAAGAAAAAUUUUAUGAAAGGGACAUUUAUUGUCCAUAUGUUUAAAGGUUUCAAAAGAAACAAAUGAUUAAAUGAAUGAAAAGUUUUAUGUUAUCGUGUUAGGUCCACUGCCUGUACGAUAUGAAUGAUGAGUCUCUUACAAAUCGUUUGAGAACUACCCAAUGAUGCCUUAGAAAUGUUAGUCGUAAAAGCUCCGCUUGAUCGAUUUAAGUAAGGAAUGAUAAGAUAGCAACGUUUAACAUAGAUAUGUUACAACGUAGAAGAAAUGUCAUGAGAUUAAGGUUUCACUUAAGUUAUUCCACUUAAGUUUAGAUUAGUUUCCACAUAGAACUAGUCUUUCACAUGGUUACACUAUAGAAGCGAUAUAUCUCGUGUAUAUCUAUGUAUGUAUGUAUGUAUGUAUGCCGAAUGAGUCUCUUCGUCUGUUGAUUCCCGUCCGUCAAUCAGAAUGGCAGGUGCACUAAGAGGACGUGGUAGAGGAUGAGGACGUGGUCGUGGGCGCGGUAGAGGAUUCAUCCCCGAAGAACCUGUUCCAUAAGUAGCACCGAAUCACACAGCUGAGGAAAAGUUUUGUAAAGAAAAACCUCCAACGUUUGAUGGAUUGGGCGAACCCGCGGAUGCCGAGAAAUGGGUUAGGGCAAUAGAACGGAUCUUCAACUACAUACGUUGUGACGAUGAGGACAAAGUGGCAUGCGCAACUUAUCAGUUGGUGGACGAAGCUGACUUUUGGUGGGAGUCAGUUAGGCGGACAAUGACUGACGAACAGUGGGGGGAUUUCACAUGGGAAGAGUUCAAAGCUGAAUUGUAUGAGAAGUAUAUACCGGGAUGUUACCGACAGAAGAAACUGAAUGAGUUUUGGAAUCUGAGACAGAAAAUGGGAACUGUGACUGAGUACGACAGGGCCUUCAAUCAACUAUCAAGAUAUGCUCCGACGUUGGUGGACAGUGAUGAGAAACGCGCAGAGAAGUUCAGAAACGGACUGCGUCACGAGAUAGCGAUUUCCCUAGCAAGUUAAGGAGGUCUCACCUAUGCACAAACAUUGGGCAGAGCCCUCACUAUUGAGUCAUUGUUGCCAAGGGAGAAAGGAAAAUCCCCCGAACAGUCUGGAUUUGUACCAUCUCAAGAUGGUAGUAAGGGAAAGAGAAAAUGGAAUGAAGGGACUGGUGGGAACAUUGGAAAUGGGAAGAAACCAUGGUGGCAAUCAAAAUCAGAACACAUCAGAACCCACAACCUCAAGCAAUGGUUCAAACUCCUUGCCCAAAAUGUCAAAAACUCCAUCCGGGAGAAUGUCUGAAAGGAAUGAACGUCUGCUAUAACUGCGGGAGGCCGGGCAUUAUGUCUCGACUGCCCAAAGAAGGGAGGAGGAGCACCCCAACAACAAAAUCCUGGAAACCAACAACGACAAAACCAAGGUCCUAGAGGAAAUCAGGACCAACCACGAUACGCUAGGGCCUAUGCCCUUAACCAACACCAAGCAGCAGGAGAUCACGGAAACCUGGCAGGUACGAUUAAUGUUUUCGACAUGUCGAUUAUAGCUCUAUUCAAUAUUGGAGUAUCCUAUUCUUCCAUUUCAUAUGUUGCUUGUAAGAUAUUAGAAUUUACGCUAUAAUCGUCCGUAACAACGUUAGAAGUUAGUACAACUGACGAUGAAAGACUGCUACUAAGGACGUCACCGCGAACUCAGAGCUCGAUAUAGGCGCCGAAACAUUUAGACAUACUUACAUGUUAUUCCUAUGAUAGAAUUUGACGCAAUCCUCGAAUUGGUUGGCUUACUCAAGUCAGCGCCACGAUACUUUUUAACAAGAGAAAGAUCCCUCUUCAAUCUUCAGGAGAGGACGAGACAAGUUUCCAUGAGGUACCAGAUUUUGAGGAAAAUUUUCUAGUUCGAAGAACAAUGUCGCACUAUUAGAAAAGCUAAGACCGUAUAUGAUUUAGUGCCGCAUAAGAGUUGAGUGGAAUGAAAGUCUAGUAUCCAAACUAGAUGACCCAGAUAUGCAAUUUCGAGGACGAAAUUUUUAUAAGGAGGGAGGGAUGUAACACCCCGCCCAUUUACAUUAAGUUUAGAAUUUAUUUUAAGCUUAGAUUAAAUGAUUUAUGCCGGAAAAUAAAAUGAAUUUAUUUUAAUUCCAACAAAAAUGAUUUACAAAAGCAUUUGUAAAUUUAGUUAUUAAAUUUAUAUGCAUUGCAUAUUUAUUUAAUUUAGCAUUCAAGCAUUUUUUUCACGAGCUUUUAAUUAGCAAACCCUGAAGCAUUAGUACAGUCUCGACGAUUUUAUCCUGAGUGAUUUUGGAGUGUCCAAUUAUCACUCAUAACCUAUGCCUUUUACAGCCACCCUAUCCGCCACCCUACUCUCUGCGGCAGCCUCCAAUCUCAGACCCCAAAGGUCAAAUAUUUCAGCCAUGCUUUUGCAGGAAAAUCUCAUCCCCAAGUCAAAUAUUGCAGGCAAAUCUCCAUCAAAUCUCCAUCAAAUCUCAUCCCGUCAAAUAUUUCAGCCCAGCUGCCCUAUUCACCCCCAUGCGCUGGUUAAUUUUUUUCAACGCCUCACCUCCCUCUUUUCAAUCCUUCACGCAUGCUUCAUUUCUCCUAUAAAAUAUCCUCCUCAUUCAUCUUCUCUUCUUUACCACAACAACACAACUUCUACGGUAAAGAAUACUUCUUGUUUAUUCAAGUCUCGAUCUUCUCAUUCAUUUUCUAAUAUCAGCAGAUUUCUUUCAUAUGCAGAGAAAACCAUCAAAUAUCUGCCAUUUUUACAGAAACCACCGAACAGAAUUCAUACAAAAAGGUUUCACCUUUCAAUUCCUCUACUUAUUCAUUCAUGCUCAACAUCAUAGUACGAAUAAAACCAACUGUAAAUAAAACAAAGAGAUACUGAAUAUUGUUUUACAUUUGGUAACAUAGAUGAAAAGAUUAAAUGAUACAGAAAUGAAGAAUUUAUAUGAACUGGACUUGUGUGCUUGCUGUGGUGAGAAUCGAGUAAGGAGAGAGAGGGCAGGCGGCGGUCAGCGGUGGCUCCGAGCUGCUGUCUGGCCGGAGCGCGUAGAGAGAGAGAGUGAAGCCGAGGGUGCGUGUGUUCUGUUGGCUGGGUCGGAGCUCGGCGGCGGCGGCAGCGGCCUGGCAGCUGCUGUCUGUCGAAGCCAGUGAGGGAGAGGGAGAGGGAAAGAGAGAUGGGGCGGAGGCGGUGACUCGACGCCACUGUUGUUCGGCGGCCGGAGUGAGUGGAGGAGAGAGUGAGACAGAGUCAUGGUGAGGGAGGAAGGCGGCGAUUUCAGAUCUGGGGUUGGAGGCGGUGGUGGCCGGCUCUUCGCUGCUGCUGUCGCCGUCUGCCGGAGUCGAGAAAAGGGAGGUGGCGCGGCUUACGGCUGUGUCGUCGCCGGAGCAGCAGGAACAGCGGCGCUCCUCGCCGUUGAAGAAGAAGAGGGAGGGGGUCAGAGUUGUGUGUGUGUAGGAAAGAGAGAGAGAGAGAGAGAGAGGGGGGGUGGUGGCGGCGGCUGCCGUUGCUCCGCUGGGAGUUUGGAGGCGGCGGCGCUGGCUGAAGAAGGGAGUAUCGCCGUUGCCGUUCGAGGAGAGAAGAGGGCAAAAGGGGGGGGCGACUGUGUGGGGGUGUGCGUGUGUUGUGAGAGGUGUGUGUGUGUGCGUGAGUUGUUUAAGAAAGAAGAAGGGGAGAAAAUAGAGUUGGGGGUUUGGGCUUUGUUGGGCCGAGUGUUUGGGCCGGGUAUUAAUUAGUUUUGGGCUGCAUUUUUUAUUUGGAUUUGGGCCGAUUUUAUUUUUGAUGUUGGGCCAUUUUUAAUUUUUAGUUGGGCCUUUAUUUAUUUAAAAUUUUGGGCUGCCUUCUAUUAAUUUAUUUGACUAUACUUAUUUAAUUAAUUUGAUUUCAUUAGUUUGAUUGAUUAUUUUAAAGAUGAUUGCGUAAUAAUAUUAUAUUAUUAUUAUGUGCAUAUUUUAGUAAUUACUUAUAUGCUAAGCAUGACAUGACAUUGUAUUUGCAUCAUGCAAUAAAGUAUUUAUGAUUUAAUUGGUUUUAUUUAUAAUUCCAAUUAUUAAAGAAAGUCGAGUAAGAAUAUUGUUGGUGUUCUUAACUCAAGAGAAAUGUUUUCAAUUAAUUAUUUAUUAAAGUUUAAAAACCCGGCUAAGUGAAUCAUAGAAUAUUAAGCACUACACCAUGACUUAAAUAUUAGAUUCAGGAGACCUAUUAAGAUUAUAGAUUUCUUGUAGGCUUUGUGGAUCGUGAGGACUAGCACUGCUAUACCAAUUCAGAGUUAAGAAUAAACGACAGGCUUUGCCUAUUCAGGUGGGCUUAUUUACCAAAUGUAUGGUUUAGCUAUUGAGCUUAAAUGUUUCAAUGAAAUAAAAAACUGUUUAUCCGAUAAAAUAUUUUGUGCACUCUGCUCUGUUUAAGGCUCGCAACAAUGAAUCGAUCGAGGUUCUCUUUUGACCUAACACGUUAUUUGAGAAUUGUGUACACCUAUUAGCUGACUCGGUGGGUUGAUCUCCAUUCGGGCACUAAUCAUGUAUGAGGCGUUAUAAGGGUGCUCGACGGGAUGUGUUCCGGAGCAUUUGGUCCCAAAUGGGAACUUGACUGGGUUACGCCCUCAGUUCAAGUAAGCAGGAGUAAUGGAUCUGUCGGUGGCUAAAAGGUCCGAGAUCACAGCGAGUAACGGAAAGGGAGUGUGACAAUUGCGCGCAAUAUAAUAAAAUGUUUUAACA
rnacentral:lncRNA from 1 species